CUUUAUUUCUCCUUUUUUCUUCUCAUUGCCAAUUGCAGCUCAACUUGAAUUUCACAGCCCGAUGUGAGAUGCGUCUCUGCUGAUCUGAGCCUGUCCUGCAGCAUGGACCUGCAACUUUCCUGAAGCAUCUCCAGGGCUGGAUGCCAUGGUAAGGAUCCCGCAAUGCUGUGUUGAUGGACAGGCUGAAGGAGGGAAGAGGACCCCACAGGGAGGCUCUGAGAAGAAGAACAAGCCCCCACUCACCCUCACUUGGACAGGACAGACUCAGAAAGGUGCUGGGUCUAUCGGCUCCUACGUCCUGACCCUUGAUGAGAUGAGGACAGAUGAGGCAAAUCGCAGAAAAGGGUCAGGGAGAUACCAUUUCUGUAUGAAGUAUCUGAAGACAGCCUGGUGCCUGCCCC
rnacentral:lncRNA from 1 species